UAGGGAAUCUUCCACAAUGGACGCAAGUCUGAUGGAGCAACGCCGCGUGAGUGAAGAAGGUUUUCGGAUAGUAAAGCUCUGUUGUUGGUGAAGAAGGAUAGAGGCAGUAACUGGUCUUUAUUUGACGGUAAUCAACCAGAAAGUCACGGCUAACUACGUGCCAGCAGCCGCGGUAAUACGUAGGUGGCAAGCGUUGUCCGGAUUUAUUGGGCGUAAAGCGAGCGCAGGCGGAAUGAUAAGUCUGAUGUGAAAGCCCACGGCUCAACCGUGGAACUGCAUCGGAAACUGUCAUUCUUGAGUGCAGAAGAGGAGAGUGGAAUUCCAUGUGUAGCGGUGGAAUGCGUAGAUAUAUGGAAGAACACCAGUGGCGAAGGCGGCUCUCUGGUCUGCAACUGACGCUGAGGCUCGAAAGCAUGGGUAGCGAACAGG
rnacentral:rRNA from 1 species